rnacentral:rRNA from 1 species
AUUCCAGCUCCAAUAGCGUAUAUUAAAGUUGUUGCAGUUAAAACGCUCGUAGUCGGAUUUCGGGGCGAUCCCGCCGGUCUGCCGUUGGGUAUGCACUGGUGGGCGCGUCCUUCCUUCCGGAGACCGUUCCUACUCUUAGCUGAGCGGGGACGGGAGACGGAUCGUUUACUUUGAAAAAAUCAGAGUGUUUCAAGCAGGCUUUUACGCCUGAAUAUUCGUGCAUGGAAUAAUAGAAUAGGAAGUCGUUUCUAUUUUGUUGGUUUUAGGAAAUCGACUUAAUGAUUAAUAGGGACAGUCGGGGGCAUUUGUAUUCAAACGACAGAGGUGAAAUUCUUGGACCGUUUGAAGACAAACUACUGCGAAAGCAUUUGCCAAGAAUGUUUUCAUUG